GAGCUGACAAAAUCAGGUAUAUUUACGAUGAUUGCUUUGGCAGCCAGGUGAGAGGUGGCUUGGAGCUGGGCACCACGGGGUGAGGGAGGCCUGCUUGAAGCAAGAGUCCACAAAAGACACGAUCUGAGUCUGAACUCAAGUAAUGACCCUGAAGAUGGAAAGUAGGGCAAAGUCCUGGUUCUUCAAAGUCAAAGAACCAACCACGCUGGGUGACUUAGAACAGCAGGGAUGAGGGGAAAGCUUCCGGAUUGAGAGGCUGAUGGGGUGAUGCCAACACUCACAGAGGCAGAGAACACAGAAAGAGAAGGGGGCGGGGUGAUGGGAGGCUGUGGGUCUGGACUGGGUAAAUGUGAGGUAACCCUAGGACACCCCCAGUGGAAAUGUCCAGUAAAUGGCUGCAAAGAUGCUUCCAAAUUUCAGAAGACAUGUCUAGAGAUGGAAACACAGAUAUAGAUGUAAUUAGCAGAGAGAGGAUCAUUAAAGCCUUGGGGUGGAUGAGCUCUCCUAGAGAGUCACGUAGAAAAGCAAAGAGGAGAAUAGACAUGGAAACACCAAACGGAAGAGCUGGACAGAAGAACCAGAAAGAGUGUCAAAGGCAUCGGAGGGGAGAUCAGCGGCCAGCAAUGGAAGACUGGCCUUCAUCAUGGCCUCAUCACUAUCUACCAUGAUACUUCAUAUUUAUUUCCAUAGUAAUUUACUGCCUGCCUCCUCCACUAGAAUAUACUAUACUUCUCUACCUCCAGAACCUAGAAGGGUGCCCUCAGCACAUAGUAGGACUCAAUAAGCAUUUGUCAAGUGGGCAAAUGAUUAGAGAAAGGAAUGCAUGCCAAGGCAGGAAACUGUUUCAAAGUAUGGGAUUUGUCAACAUGGGCAACUGCUGCAAAGACUCAAGAAAAUAGGUCAUUAGUUUUGAAAAUUAGGUCGUUGGUAACCUUAGCAAGAGUCCUUUUAAUAAUGUGUUGGUAUAAAAGCUAAAUUGUUACAGCUUCAAAGAAAACAGGGGUGAGGUCACUCUUUGCAAGGGAAGAGAAGGCAAUGUCAAGAGGUUAAUUUGGGAGAGGAGAGAUGGAAGCAAUCUGAGAUCAUGGGUGGACUUAGAUGAAUCAGCCAGAGGAAAGAAAGUGGAGCUAAAGAAGAAGAAAAGCAUGGAACAAGGCAGUGAAAAGGGCAGAAGGCAUUAGAGAGACCAGCAUACAAGAGGUUGUCUUAGUUCACUAUAUUCCAGCUGCUAUAGUAAAAUGCCAUAACAGAGGUAUGUACAAGGAUAAUGAGGGAAUCCCCAGCUGAUGGAUUCUGUUUUCCUUUGUGAAAAAUGAGGCAAGACUACCUGUACAAUCUGCAUAAGGCGAGGAGUAGCUUAUUUUGAAGGAGAUUCCAUGGGGAAAUCAAAAGUGGCCAAUUAGGGGGGAGCAAGGAGAUUUCAAGACGCACUGAAGACCUAACCAAAACUGGAAACCAUAAGUCCAUGGUGGUGUCCAGGAGCAUGGUUAUGGAGCUGAGAGCCCCAGAGCAGAAGCAAGGAAAAAAGUCAGGUUCACCAUGCAUCCAUGGCGUGGUGUAAUGAAAACUACCUUGGAAGAAAGCCUACCCUCCUUCUCUACCAGUAAGAACAGGCAGUCCCUGCUUAAGCCCUAUGGCCCCCUCUACAUUGCCAGAUCCUGAGCAUGUAAUCACACCUCUAUGAGCUUCUUACCCACAACUGUGGAUCGUAAUAUUGUUCUAGUCUUACCAAAUGUGGUGAGGCCCAAAUAGGAAAACAUAUUUGAAUGACUUUUGCCAACUCCUAAGCACUACGGAGGUUCCCCGCCUUGCUGUUUCCCCAAACAAGCCUUGUGCCAUCUUUUCAAGUAACAUGGAGCAAGGACAUCCUAAACGCCUCCUAGGCACCUGGCAUCCUCCUCUCCAACUAUGCCCCUGGCCCCAUGGGAGUGACAUUUUGGACCUACAGAAUAAGAACAAUUUACACAGGAGGCCCUAAACUCAUUCAGUCUCUAUUUAAAUUACUUCCCCAUGAAAAGAACUUCUGCCAACUCUCAUGCCUUAGAGAUGGAACCAAGGAGAGAGAAAUUUGCUUUUGUUAGCAGACUCCAUAAUUACAUGGAGAUAUGUCCACCUGGGUAAUAGCACAUGGGAUUUUUUUUUUAACUUUUUAUAUAAAUAUUUCAGUUUCUUACCUUGCUAGAUUGACUUUUUCUCAAUAUUAAUUGCCUCCAUAGUCUUAAUCUAUAGCAACAUUUCUAACCGGUGUCCCUGUACAUUUUUCUUUCUCAGGAGGCUGCUACUGGACGACUUAAUUUAAAUUUUUUAAUACCAUGAAUAAAUAGUAUCUGGCUUUGCUCAAGGGGGGUAAGUGAGUCUCUAAAGGGUGAGUGUCAGCUCUUCGACAGUUUACGGAAAGAGGCUACUUACUGAGUUUCAGUCUGGCCCACAUGUUUCAUAAAUAGGAAAAUCCACAUCUCCUUUAACCAAUGCUAAUUUCUAUCAUCUACGAAAUGGACAUCUAAGCUGUCACCUUAGGUGUUCCUAUCUAUAGGCACUGAGUUUAUGAAUGAGGUCCCUUGCCUAAAGGAUCAGCCCUUUACAUAACGAGGCUCCUCCUGUUGGUCACAGAUCCCAGACAACCGGGUCACCUGGGACAUUAAGUUGCAGCCAUAAAUUAUUCCGUUUUGCAUCCCUAGAGCAGCUGCUCUGGUCACACAGCCCAUCUCUCUCUCCUGUGCCAAGAGAGAGGGUGAUCUUAGGCCCCCCUCACUUUUCAAAUAAGCCCUAACUCCUCCCAUGGCCGAGCACGUGUUCUGUUCCCUGGAUAGCCCCAUUUUUACUGCUGAAACUCAAGAAGCUAUUAAAGUCUCCUCAACCUGGCAGAGCCCCAGGACCAGAUGGUGUUCUCCCAGUUCUUAUAAAGCCUUUAUUAACAAAAUGACACCAAGCCUCACUGGCCUCCAUAAUGACUGCUUUUUCCCACCCACGGAAGACCCUCGAUGGCGAGGACGACCUGUUGAUUGCUAUGCUUGCCGUCACUGUCAGAACACCUCUGGACCUCCGCAUGGCUCUGAAUCUUCACUCGAACCCUUGCAGGGCCCUGAUGAGAACAGCUCCCUCUCCCCCUCCCCGACCCCCCCCCCAAAAGGGAAGAAAGCCAAAGCAAGCUAAUGAGAAGCAUAAACAGCAGACUACAGAGGGGGGUUUGCUAGAAACUCACCACCCCUCUUCUGGGAUUUUGAAGAGUCUGGCAAUGAUGAAGCUUUUGGCAGCCCCCCUCAGGAAGAGGCAGAGCUGUUAAUUGCUAAUCUGGCCUCAUGGGAUUUGCAUGGAGGACUGGCUUUCAGUCCGGUGUAGGUUUUCAUCUUGUGUGGCGGCUCCAUCAGGGUGCCCAGAAGAGCCGGGGGAGUCAGUAAGGGAAGACGGAAUUUCUCACCUCCGGGUCAGUAGUGCAGAUGUGAAAGGCCACGGAAAGCCCUUAUCUUCGGGCGGACUCCGGGAAGGUGCUCAGGCACCAUCAGCUGCCAUACGUGAUGCUCAAGUGACAAACACUCACGGCACAGCAUCUCAGGGAAGCGCUUGGAAACUCAUGCUCUCUGAAGU
rnacentral:lncRNA from 1 species